CAACGACCGGCGCGGAGGGGUCAGCGGGAGGGAACCGGGUCACCAGCCAGCGAGAGUGCACAGCCUGAGCCCACCGCCGGGUCAGGUCUCUCUCUGUCUCUGUCUCUGUCUCUGUCUCUGUCUCUCUCUGUCUCUGUCUCUGUCUCUGUCUCUCUCUGUCUCUCUGGGCCCGCUUGGGGCGGGCGGGAGGUCACCACGUGAGGCCCCAGGGUGUCCACCUCGGAGCUCCCAGGCAGCACAGGGCAACCCUGGGCGCAGAAGGAGGUGUUGGAAAAUCGGCGGGGAGGGGGGUGGGGUGGGUGGGCUUGCCAGGAAGGGGACAGACUCCCCACGUGACUCCUGGGCCGGGCCGGGGCUGCCAGCUGGCUGACGCGGACAGAGGUGGAAAAGUCCCCGGAGAUGCCACGGGGCAGGCCGGGGCUGCCGGCCCCCGCUUCCCGGAGCGCCCGAGCACUUCCCGGGCUCCCGGGAGGACUUAGAAAAUCAGGGCGGGGUGGGGGGUGGGGGUCGCUGUCAAACCGAAACCAUGCACGUCAUCAGAGAAGGACCGUGACGACGGAGGAAUUGUCCGCAGUCUGUCAGGAAUUGUGUGCAGCCUGUCACUUCCGGCCCAGAGGGUCUCUCUAAGGCAGACGGACAGACAGAGCCCACAAGUCGUAGAGGAAAGGACCGAGCCGCUUGGCCGCGGAAAAGUUUACAACACAAAACAGGUCUCCCUCCGCACGGGGCCACAGCAAAGCCCAAAGACGACACACGGGGGGGAGCAUGGGUGCAGAUGCACGUGUGGUGAUAAGAAUAUGGAUUUCAGCAGGGCUUCCCGUCCUCAUCAACAAGCAGAAGCACCCAAAUGGUGGGGGUUGGGGGGCAGAGACCUCACAGCCAUUCCCUCCACAAAUCGAGUUCCCCAGGACAUCCUCACAGCCCCGUGCUGUGAGUGUGUGUGGGUGUUUAAAAUGGAGUAAAUGUGGACGUGGAACUGCUCCGUGAAACCAAAAUAACAACAGUCGUAGAUCUUCUUUGGUCAUUUAGAAAAUUCUUUUUUUUUUUUUUUUUUCCCCAGCGGUGCACGUAUUUCCCUUCCAAAAAAGAAGAACGGGAAAGGAGAUGUUAAAGGCAAGCAGAGAGAGGAAAACUGUUGCAAAACAAAAGCUGAGCUCCCGUCCGAGGGAGGCCUCCUCCAUUGGAGGCCUAGGAAAUCAUUCUGACAAAAUGGAGGAUCUCUGUCUUUGGUGUCGAUUCCCUCAGAGGUCAAGAGAAACCUUUUCCAAUGUCUUUAUCAGGAGGAGACUAGAAGUUAGAGAAAAGUAUCCUUUCGGGAGUGAGAAAAACAAAUUCUGAUUUUGCAUCAGCUUCCCUCCGAUCUUGAAACUCAUUGACUUGAUUCCAUUCUGUCGACGGAAAUAAUCCGGAACCAAUCUAUCCGUGAAAAUCGGGGGCACAACCAAAGGGACGUCUAUCGACCCACCCACCAAGGAUUCCCCCCCCCCGCACGGCACAGCAGGAUGCCUGAGAGAUCCAUGCAGCCCUACAGUGGCAAGUCACAUUCGCACAGUCAAAACUCAAUGGCAGAGACAAAACGUUAAGGUCAGCGAGAGGGAAGAGAAUAACCGGCCCAGGAGCAACGGUGUGAAGAACACGGAGAAGACGGGUCCUAGACGCCGGGGUCCCCGGAGCAGCGAUUUCAUCAGAGGCCCGCGAACGUCCACGAUCUCCACACCACGUUUAUGGCCGACUGCGUGCGUGGGUCCUUUGGAAUCGACCAGGCUACUGUCCGGGCCACUUUGGGACAUCGUGGCCAGCUGCCCCGAGCGGUGGAGCUGUCAUUCGAGUACUGCUUGAGGAUCACGGACGGUUUGGCUCAUCGAUGAGCCCUGCGUUAUGGGCCCGGCAAGCAAACUCCUAACUGGCAACCCGCUGCUCUAGGUGUGUGUGGGUUUUUUGAUCAUUCACCUUCAAGUUCGCACGACAUUGGUCCGUGUCCCCCGCCCUGGCUUCCCAUGGGAAAUCCUCCGUCUCUUUCCACAGACUCACUGGCGACUUCACACAGCGCCUGCCUCCUCCUCCUUAGGAAGGAAGGAAGGAAGGAAGGAAGGAAGGAAGGAAGGAAGGAAAGGAAGGAAGGGGCUGACCCCGUGGCCGAGCGGUUGAGUUCG
ensembl:lncRNA